ACCCGGUUGCUAGCCGCUUAGUUCCCUCCUCCGCUUUCCGAAGGCGCGGUAUUAUCUCUCGCCUCUUGUCCUAAGCCUUCAGAGGAAAUUAGAGCCAGGCCCACAGCUGCAUGGGAACAGGACCAGGAAAAGAAGACGCUCGUUUGUUUUUCCUAUUCUCUCAUUGAUUUGGCCACCGUUUGCUGAACCUGAGUGCGGUGCGGUGCGGGGCUGGCUGCACCGAGGGAAGUCGGAGACAGCUGCCGCCUUGGCAGUGCUCACGUUGAGGAGGGACACUCCUGAACGCGAGUGCUUACUGUCCUGGACCGUGGAGCUACCCGAGGGUCUUGUCUGGCCCGAUGCAUGGCCUCUCGUGCCGUCCCAAACUGCUCCUUGUCAUAGGACAGAGGCACUGCUCCUAUUUCACAGGAAGCAGGUGAAACACAGAGCUGUAGCGACGGAGCAAGGGAAGGAACUUCGUUCUCUUGGACCAACAUUUGUGAUCUCUGACCCAGUGUUUCUCGAAUGCAAAGGAAAGAGGAUCAGGAGAGUGAAGGCCAGCUAGCAAGUGUGGAUGGACCGCAGCCGGCUAGAGGGACCAGUGCGCUCUCGGGGAGGACAUGGCGAGA